GACGAACGCUGGCGGCGUGCUUAACACAUGCAAGUCGAACGGUGAAGCGCCUUCCUUUUUGGUGGGUGUGGAUGAGUGGCGAACGGGUGAGUAACACGUGAGUAACCUGCCCCCUUCUUCUGGAUAACCGCAUGAAAGUGUGGCUAAUACGGGAUAUUCUGGGUCUGUCGCAUGAUGGGUCUGGGAAAGAUAUUGUUUCGGUGGGGGAUGGGCUCGCGGCCUAUCAGCUUGUUGGUGGGGUGAUGGCCUACCAAGGCGGUGACGGGUAGCCGGCCUGAGAGGGUGGACGGUCACACUGGGACUGAGACACGGCCCAGACUCCUACGGGAGGCAGCAGUGGGGAAUAUUGCACAUUGGGCGCAAGCCUGAUGCAGCGACGCCGCGUGAGGGAUGGAGGCCUUCGGGUUGUGAACCUCUUUCGCCAGUGAAGCAGGCCUGCCUCGUUUGUGGGUGGGUUGACGGUAGCUGGAUAAGAAGCGCCGGCUAACUACGUG
rnacentral:rRNA from 1 species